rnacentral:lncRNA from 1 species
AAGAAAAAAGCCAAAUAAAGAAAAAAGCCAAAUAAAGAAACUUGUCAAGAAAUUUACUGUUUCAUUCUGAUUUAUAACCCCCGUGGAACAAAAAUAGUACUCGUUGGAAUACAAUUAUAACAUCUACAUUUUUAUAUUUUUUUUUACCCAUUUACAUUUUGUCAUAAUUUCAACAAUGUGAUUUUUUUUAUUAAAAACGCAUAUAACAUCUUUUUAAUAUAUACAUGCAUAUUUAAAUAUAUAUAAAGAUAGAGAGAAAGAUAAAAUGAGAUGUUUAAAAAAAAAAAAAAAAAUACAUGUGAGCGUGAAUAGGAGAAACAAAAAUAAUAGCAUAAAGUUUUAUAAUUAUUUACGAAAAUAAAAUAAAAAAAUAAAUAAAUAAAAAAUAACAUAAUAAAAAAUAAAAUAAUAAAAAAUAAAAUAAUAAAAAAUAAAAUNNNNNNNNNNAAUAAAAUAAUAAAAAAUAAAAUAAUAAAAAAUAAAAUAAUAAAAAACAAAAAACAGAUACGUUCUAUAAAGUAAUAGUAUUGCAAAUCCAUUUGUUCUAUCAAAAACGUUCACCCAGUUAUAUAUUUUCUUUCUUUUCUUAAAUUGUUCAUCCAGUUCUAUUUUAAUUUCCUUACGAAACAAAAACUGUAACAUAAGUGCAAAAAUGUAAAAUGUAAAAAAAAAAAAAAAAAAAAAAAAAAAAAAAAAGCAUGUAACACAAUAAACCAUGGCGUUUGAUUUUUCUGAAUAACACAAGCAAUUUUUUUUUAUUGAAGCACUUCUACUUUUGGAUAAACGAAUAUGAUUGGAUAAACCCAUUUUAGUUUUGCAUCUAUUACUGUGCUUAUUUUUAAACUUUAUUUUAUUUUUUUAUUAUUUUAUUAUUUUAUUAUUUUAUUUUUUUUAUUUUUUUUAUUUUUUUAUUUUUUUAUUUUAUUUUAUUUUCGAAAAUGUUAUAAAACAAAAAUGAUAAAAGUAAAUGGAAUCGUUUUGUUUUAUUUUAUUUUAAAUUUAGUUUAUUGCCUUAACAACGUUUUCAGGAAAAAUGCAUACAUUUUAUACUCACCCAAACUCAUAAAGAGCUCCAAACCGGCAUCUAGGAGAUGGAGUACCUCACAAAAUAACGAUAACAUAGUCAAUUUAAGUAAAGGUGAAAAUUCAAUUGAGGAGGCAUAUAACAACAAUAUUGCAAGUAAAUAUAAUAUAAAAAAUUUUGCAAAGGAUAUAAACGAUAAUAUAUACAUAGAAACUAAUAGGAGGGGCAGAAGAAUAAAAAAAAACAAACAUUUAAUUUCAUUAUAUAAUAAUACGAAUAUAAAGACAUCAAAUUUUAUUUACCCUUUGUUUAUUCAUGAAGAGGGAAAUGAAAAAAACGAAACGAAAUUAGAGGGUAUUCACACAUAUAAUUACGAAGGAGUAGUAAAAGAAAUAGAAGAAUGCUUAAAAUUAAAUAUACACCAUUUUAUGCUCUUUCCUGUUGUAAAUGAUCAAAAGAAAUCAAUUUAUUGUGAAGAAUGUUAUAACGAAAAUAGUUAUUUUUGCCAAACAUUAAAAGCUAAAAGACAAAUUUGCACAUGAUGUUGUAAUAUAUGCAGACGUGGCUUUAGACCCAUAUAACGUAUAUGGUCAUGAUGGUAUAUACGACGAGAAAAAGCGAGAAAUAAUCAACGACAUCAGUGUCCAUACACUCGUUAAACAGGUAAUACAAAAAUUAAAUACACAUACAUAAAUAAAAGUUAUAUCUUACCAUACA